AUUUGACUUAAGAUCUUGCCUUGCUUUCUUCUCUCCCUCAGCAGAGAAUACUGUACAUGGCUAUGUACAUUUUCAAAAAAUGGAAGAGAUAGAGGUAUCGAGGAGGAGGGGCUGCAGUGAGCAAACUUCUCAGAUCUGCAGAGCUGAAGAACUAGAUCGGGGGUCUAAACUCCAGGGCCACAGACUGGUACCAGUCUGUUUUAGGAACCAGGCUGCACAGCAGGAGCGGACUCUGUCUUGAAUCACUACUUGCUCUCGAGAAAGUUCAGGGCUUCUGUGAUAGAGAAUAAGGAGAGAAAUGGGAGCGAAAGAAGAGAAAAAACAGAAACACCUCUCUGAAUGUGAAACACAGAUGUUUUAUUUUCGUGAAGUUGAAGAGAAAAGUGAAGCUGAGGAGAAAAUUGCACAAAACACAGCUGCAUUGUGCAAGAAAAAGUG
rnacentral:lncRNA from 1 species